rnacentral:snRNA from 1 species
AGCUUUGCGCAGUGGCAGUAUCGUAGCCAAUGAGGUUUAUCCGAGGUGUGAUUAUUUCUAAUUGGAAAAAAAAAUCUAUCAU